AUCAAAAAAAUCUACAAACAAUAAAUGCUGGGGAGGGUGUGGAGGAGAGGGGACCCUCUUGCACUGUUGGUGGGAAUGUAAAUUGAUACAGCCACUAUGGAGAACAGUAUGGAGGUUCCUUAAAAAACUACAAAUAGAACUACCAUACGACCUAGCAAUCCCACUACUGGGCAUAUACCCUGAGAAAACCAUAAUUCAAAAAGAGUCAUGUACCAAAAUGUUCAUUGCAGCACUAUUUACAAUAGCCAGGACAUGGAAGGAACCUAAGUGUCCAUCAAUAGAUGAAUGGAUAAAGAAGAUGUGGCACAUAUAUACAAUGGAAUAUUACUGAGCCAUAAAAAGAAA